rnacentral:rRNA from 1 species
UGCCAGACUCCUACGGGAGGCAGCAGUGGGGGAUAUUGCACAAUGGGGGAAACCCUGAUGCAGCGACGCCGCGUGAGUGAAGAAGUAUUUCGGUAUGUAAAGCUCUCUCAGCAGGGAAGAAAAUGACGGUACCUGACUAAGAAGCCCCGGCUAACUACGUGCCAGCAGCCGCGGUAAUACGUAGGGGGCAAGCGUUAUCCGGAUUUACUGGGUGUAAAGGGAGCGUAGACGGCGAUGCAAGCCAGGAGUGAAGGCCCGGGGCCCAACCCCGGGACUGCUCUUGGAACUGCGUGGCUGGAGUGCAGGAGGGGCAGGCGGAAUUCCUGGUGUAGCGGUGAAAUGCGUAGAUAUCAGGAGGAACACCGGUGGCGAAGGCGGCCUGCUGGACUGCAACUGACGUUGAGGCCCGAAAGCGUGGGGAGCAAACAGGAUUAGAUACCCUUGUA